UUAGGGCAGGACAAGGUCAGCCUGAAUAAGCCCUUCACAGGGGCACUUUGAUCCUCUUGGGGUGUGUCCAAUUUCUGCGGCCUCCUGGGUUGUGUCCAAUUUCUGUGGUGUGGAUGUUUGCUGGCUCUUCCAGCAGAGGGGGAUGGGAUGGAUCUCCCUCUGUGCCAUGGUGCAUUUGUGAAGGUCAGAAGACAAGUGGUGGGAGUUGGUUCUCUCCUUCGAUCAUGUGGGAUCUGGGAAUGGAACUCCAGUCUUCAGGCUUGGUGGGCUCUGGGUCUGCAAUGUCUUUGGAGGCCUCCUGCUACAAAAAUGAACUAAGAAGACAUUGACUUAAAUGGAGCUCACCAGAGAGUGGACUGUUCCAAGUUCCUUUACCAGGUCAAAGAACAUAGCCAAGGGCAUCAAGGCCAAAGGACAAUGCAUGAAUUUCCAAAUCUAGAGAGAAAUGAGGAGCCAAGCAGGCAUGCCCAAACAUUUGACAUUUUGACAUCACAUUGUCAAGUACAAAGUUCACAGUAGAGAUCCGCUCAGUCAAGUUUGAAAACAUAGUCACAGAAAUAGCUCAUGAAGUUUUAAGUUUAUGGUUUUUGUUGGGCAAUAGUCGUAACUGUGGAGAGUAAUCAACCUAGGAGAUGAGUGGUAGGUUGGACACCUCUGUUGAAGUCUAAAGUCUAAAGUUUUGUCAUCAGCAAUCUGGUCUGGUGAAGAAGGAAUGCAUGAUGACUCAGGAAAAGGAGGAAUACUCUGGAACAGAGAGAGUGUGUGGGCUCUGGCUGGGUAUGUCUCACGUGAUUGCACAACUGCCUUCAUGUUUACCAAUUCACAAUUACUCCUUAAUACAGAAUCCUUCUACUUUUCAAAGAAUUUUUACACAUUAUCUAUCAUCUGUGAAUUAAUUCACUUGCUGAUUUCUGAAAUUUUCAUCUUAGAGAUGCUUUUAUUUGGCAUUACGCAAAUCCCACAAUCAGUUAUUCAUACAUUAGCAUGAGUGAUUAUGGCAUCUUGAUCAAGAUUGAUUGAACUUUCUUCUCAUCAUAGAGAAAGGAAAGUAUACUGGAUCUUUUAUUUUUAUAUUACUUCACCUUCUAAAUAUUGUGUGGAGAAAGUUAAAGAGGUGGGAUGGUGAAUUGAAAGAACAGCCAAGGUAAGAUUUCACUGUCCAAAAAGUCCAUUAGAAAAAUAAUUCGGUAUUUUUUAUUGUAACCCUAUUUGAGCCACAUAAUCACCCAUUAAAAUAUUCCAUAAUUCUGCUUAUAGUAUUGUGCUGGCCAGAAAGGCUCCAUUUUGAAAACUCCAUCUUAAGGAAGUAAACCUGAGCUUAAUUCUCCCCUACCCCCAGUUCUUGUAAGUAACUCAGUCCUUGUAAAUCAUUUGGCUUCCUUGUAAGACCACAGGAGAACAAAAGCAGGUUUUGCAAAGCUCCUAUCUGAUGUCUCUAACUGCUCAUUCUGGCUUCUGUAAAUUUGCUUAUUGCUGUGUCCAGAAGGAAAAGGGAUCUCCAACUCCUUGCAGCUGCGGGUUCCAUAGUGAUGUCACCACUCAGUCGCUGUAAUUGUUUUCUUUGUGCCCCUGUUUGUUCAAUAUAUUGAUAAAUGUCCUGUUUACCUUGUCUUUAAACAAUGUAUUGAAACUGUAUUGAAACUGUGACCCCCCCCAAAAGCCCCCAAAGACCCGGCAAUUGUAUAACUGUCAUGAGAUGAUUAAC